UGAACUUCUAAAAUUUGCGGAUUGGACGAUUAUUAAAAGUUUCUUUUGUAUUUAUAAUAACUAUUUGGUUACAUGUGUGUAAAUAAAAUGUAUAGAGAGUAUGAUGUGUGUAAUAAUCGCGUGCGAAUAAGAGAGUUCCAAGAAAGUAGUAGAUAAGUGACGCCUCUUUCCUCUCGUGCUUUAACGUGAAACGGGAAUCGCAUUUAUCCUCUCCGGCAAUUAAAUUUAUAGAAGCAGAAACACAGAAGCUGAUGUGUAAGUUAUGUAUAUAUUAUAUAUACUAAGUUUGAAGCCGUAGUGAUGUGGAUUGUGAUCAAGAUUAUGGUGUUUCCUUUGAAUAAUAACAGCAGCUAUAAAUAUGGACGCAUUUUAUUGUCAUGAAUUCCAUUUGAUGUGUUUAUAAAAGCUGGAAUACAUAUAUGACGGCAUCACUUACGCAAUUAAUCCAGAUUACCGUGUGAGAAAAAAGAGUAUAAUGGUGCUGGAGAGGUAACUGGGGAAAGGCCUCGACCGUUGAUCAUCGUCGUUGAUCAUCCACACGGCUGUAUUGGCAAUAACAGCAUAAGCAGGAACGGCAAUAGCGAGUGGAAGCAGUGGUAAGGAGCUAGCCUGAAGGCCUAAAAGUAAGCUUGACACAUGCAAACCAGUUUAAGUUGAACGGACAGUUCCGGACUCUAACAUCUACCAACAGACAACUUACUUCUAUUAUAUUAUGUACAGAUAUUAUUAGUAGAUUUCGAAGAAAUCUUAUUGCAUUUAU
rnacentral:lncRNA from 1 species